rnacentral:rRNA from 1 species
AGUGAACGCUGGCGGUAGGCCUAACACAUGCAAGUCGAACGGCAGCACAGGAGAGCUUGCUCUCUGGGUGGCGAGUGGCGGACGGGUGAGGAAUACAUCGGAAUCUACUCUGUCGUGGGGGAUAACGUAGGGAAACUUACGCUAAUACCGCAUACGACCUACGGGUGAAAGCAGGGGAUCUUCGGACCUUGCGCGAUUGAAUGAGCCGAUGUCGGAUUAGCUAGUUGGCGGGGUAAAGGCCCACCAAGGCGACGAUCCGUAGCUGGUCUGAGAGGAUGAUCAGCCACACUGGAAGUGAGACACGGUCAAGACUCAUGCGGGAGGCAGCAGUGGGGAAUAUGGGACAAUGGGCGCAAGCCUGAUCCAGCCAUACCGCGUGGGUGAAGAAGGCCUUCGGGUUGUAAAGCCCUUUUGUUGGGAAAGAAAUCCAGCUGGCUAAUACCCGGUUGGGAUGACGGUACCCAAAGAAUAAGCACCGGCUAACUUCGUGCCAGCAGCCGCCGUAA